CGUGGCCUGCCAGAGGACGGGCAGCCGGCAGGGUGGAGGGACAGGUGGGAGUCACGCCAGCUCCAACCAGGUCUAGAACCCAAACCUUCAACCCCUGAGCUUUCCUGCCUUCGAGUCCUCGGAGCUCUCCUGGAGGCUGAGCAGGCAACAGAGCCUGCUCCUCAGCUGGAUGUGGCCCGUGGGAGGUCUCUCAUCUGGGAAGUGGGAUGAUAGCGCCAACCUAGCUGGAUUGCUGUGACUGCCAGCACAAUGCCUUCUAAGGGUUCAAGGCUGCCUUUCAGUGACAGGCUGCUGAGGACACCCUAGGCCAGGAGCCACCCCACCUGGCCCACCGAGGCUCUGGACCCUCCCAGGGCUAUUGCUUCUCUGGAGUUGGGUGAUGAACAGAGGGUUGGACCCCCCAAGCCCUGCAUGGGGGUAGAGGCCCUCCCUGAGAAGGACCUCCAGAGCCCAGCUCUGCUCUCCCAGGGUGUGGUUCCAUGGGAGGUGGGCUCCACUGGUCCUAAGCUCUGGGCAGGUUGGCAUCCCCAGAGGGCAAUGCUGACAACACCUCCCUUGGCACCCCCAAGGGUUCGUUUCUCAGCAGCAACUUCCAAAGGCUGUUCCCCCAGGUCUCUGUCCCUUUCCUGAGCCCUCCCCUGUCCUUCUCCAGGCAACCCACAGCCCCAGCAGCCUGUGCACAUUUAGCGCUGGAUCCCUGAUCCCUUGGGCUUGGCCUCACUCCUCUCUGGCUCCAUGCCCCCAGAUCUCUUUGGCAUGACCAACAACUGGCUGGCGAGCCCAGAGAUGGGGGAAGAAGGGCCCUGAGCCAUGAGUGCACCUCACUGCAUGGCCCUGGUCAGGUCCCUCUGCCUCCCGGGGCCUCACUGUGUCCACAGCCUCCUGCACGCCACGAAGCACCUCCCCGAUGUGCCAGCUCCCCCAGCACCAGCCUCAUCCCAAGGAAGGAGGAGGCGACUCCCACUACUCAAGGGGCUGUUCCCCAUGGCACCCCUCAGGCCGCUGCAGGAGACUAUAAGCCCCUCACAACCGAGGCCAUUUUCCCCACUCCCUUCCCCGCAAGCCCUAAAUGGCCCAGCAACAACUCUGAACUCUGAUCUCGGUCAGCCCAGCACGGGUGGGGCAGGAGGUUCUGUCAACAGCGAGAGAAACUCGUUAACUGAAUGUCAAUAGGAUUAAAGGCUCUGAUGGUCCAGGAGAAAAAUGUGACGUGACACAUCAUGACAGAUGCGUGGAAGGGCUCCCGGGGGGUGGGGUCCCGUGUGUGUGUGUGUGUGUGCGUGUGUGUGUGUGAGAGAGAGAGA
rnacentral:lncRNA from 1 species